rnacentral:lncRNA from 1 species
CUGAAGUAAAGCAAUGGUGAAAGACUUGGCAGAAAUAGUGAGGUUUCUUGUGGAAGGCUUCACUGUGUUUACUUCAGUUGGCACGAUUGGCUUUACAAUGACCCUCUCAACAGGAAAUGGUGGUGGAGGAGGGGGUGGUGGAGGAGGAGGGGGAGGAGGCAUCAAAAAAGGAUUAAGUGGAUUCAUAUCAACCACAUGACUAUCUCGUCUUUUGGGUACUGCACUCAUUCUUUGGACAUUUCUAUCUUGCUCAUCAUUUGACUUUGGCAUUGCCCAUGUUCUUCUGGGUUCU